GUGUAUAGCUGUAACCCUUAGCCAAUGAUCUGGCCCUGCACUGAAGGACUUGACUCUGGAGAGCAAAUUGAAGCUCCUCGCAGGAAGAGAAGAUGUCAAUAUGGGCCCCUGGUAAGUGAAAUAAACUUGGAAGGCAUCAGGGCACUCCCGGCACCAUAACAAUUUACCAUCCUUGCUCCCAAAGCCAAUUUCCUGUACAAAUAAGUGAC